CCGAUAGCUAUCGGGAUGAAGGAAGUCGGCGGCAAAGGCGUGGCCUGACGAACAGAAACUGCAUGUAAGGCCAAAGGAGGCUGGAUAAGGUUGCAUCACAAACCGAAGUCCUAUACUGUCCGGAGCCUCCGGGGUAAAUGAAGCAGGUUGAUGGGAUGAAAGUUAUCGUU
rnacentral:ncRNA from 1 species